rnacentral:rRNA from 1 species
GUGUAGGUAACCUGCCUUGUAGCGGGGGAUAACUAUUGGAAACGAUAGCUAAUACCGCAUAACAAUGGAUGACCCAUGUCAUUUAUUUGAAAGGGGCAAAUGCUCCACUACAAGAUGGACCUGCGUUGUAUUAGCUAGUAGGUGAGGUAACGGCUCACCUAGGCGACGAUACAUAGCCGACCUGAGAGGGUGAUCGGCCACACUGGGACUGAGACACGGCCCAGACUCCUACGGGAGGCAGCAGUAGGGAAUCUUCGGCAAUGGGGGCAACCCUGACCGAGCAACGCCGCGUGAGUGAAGAAGGUUUUCGGAUCGUAAAGCUCUGUUGUAAGUCAAGAACGAGUGUGAGAGUGGAAAGUUCACACUGUGACGGUAGCUUACCAGAAAGGGACGGCUAACUACGUGCCAGCAGCCGCGGUAAUACGUAGGUCCCGAGCGUUGUCCGGAUUUAUUGGGCGUAAAGCGAGCGCAGGCGGUUUGAUAAGUCUGAAGUUAAAGGCUGUGGCUCAACCAUAGUUCGCUUUGGAAACUGUCAAACUUGAGUGCAGAAGGGGAGAGUGGAAUUCCAUGUGUAGCGGUGAAAUGCGUAGAUAUAUGGAGGAACACCGGUGGCGAAAGCGGCUCUCUGGUCUGUAACUGACGCUGAGGCUCGAAAGCGUGGGGAGCGAACAGGAUUAGAUACCCUGGUAGUCCACGCCGUAAACGAUGAGUGCUAGGUGUUGGAUCCUUUCCGGGAUUCAGUGCCGCAGCUAACGCAUUAAGCACUCCGCCUGGGGAGUACGACCGCAAGGUUGAAACUCAAAGGAAUUGACGGGGGCCCGCACAAGCGGUGGAGCAUGUGGUUUAAUUCGAAGCAACGCGAAGAACCUUACCAGGUCUUGACAUCCCGAUGCUAUUUCUAGAGAUAGAAAGUUACUUCGGUACAUCGGUGACAGGUGGUGCAUGGUUGUCGUCAGCUCGUGUCGUGAGAUGUUGGGUUAGGUCCCGCAACGAGCGCAACCCCUAUUGUUAGUUGCCAUCAUUCAGUUGGGCACUCUAGCGAGACUGCCGGUAAUAAACCGGAGGAAGGUGGGGAUGACGUCAAAUCAUCAUGCCCCUUAUGACCUGGGCUACACACGUGCUACAAUGGUUGGUACAACGAGUUGCGAGUCGGUGACGGCAAGCUAAUCUCUUAAAGCCAAUCUCAGUUCGGAUUGUAGGCUGCAACUCGCCUACAUGAAGUCGGAAUCGCUAGUAAUCGCGGAUCAGCACGCCGCGGUGAAUACGUUCCCGGGCCUUGUACACACCGCCCGUCACACCACGAGAGUUUGUAACACCCGAAGUCGGUGAGGUAACCUUUUGGAGCCAGCCGCCUAACGG